AGAAAAUAUUAAAUAUUUACAAAUGUACCAAACAAUACAUACAAAUGCAACAGAAAAUUGGAGAAAAACCAGGUCAGACAGUAUCUCUGGAAAGAGAAACAGAGUUAAUGGUCCAAUAUUGGUGGAAAUGCACCUCAGAAAUGCAUGGAUGGAGUAAACUUAAAUCAGAUUCUCUGAUUCUCUGAUUGAGUAAACUUAAAUCAGAUUCUCUGAUUUAGGCAUGAUUGUUUUUUCCUUUCUGGCUUUCAUAUCUACAAGCUUUUCGAGAUUCAACAUAUUGUGCAUUCAGAGAUGCUCUACUGCAUACCACCGUUGUAAUGGUUGGUUAUUUGAGCUGCUGCCUUACUGUCAAGCUUGAUCUAGUCUGGCCAGUCUCCUCUGACCCUUCUCGUUAACAAAGCACCUAUGCCUAAAGAUCUGCUGUUUACUGAAUUUUUUUGUUUCUUGCACUAUUCUCUGUAAAAUCUACAGGCUAUUAUUUACAGAUUGUUAUCUACAGACUGGUAAACCAGUAGUAGUUUCUGAGAUACUCAAACCACCCUAUCUGGCACCAACAAUCAUUCCAUGCUAAAAGUCACUCAGAUCACAUUUCUUCCCCAUUCUAAUGUUUGGUCUGAACAACAAGGGAACCUCUUGAUCAUGUCUGCAAGCUUUUAUGCAUUGAGUUGUCACCACAUGAUUGGCUGAUUAGAUAUUUACAUUAACGAGGUGCACAAGUGUAAAUAAUAACAUAGCUGCUGAAUAUAAAGUUCACACAGAUUAUUUGGAUUGCACAGUGCAUUUCUGGACUGUGUAUCUUGUGUAAUUCUUGCAGCAUCAUUACAACUGUACAACAGAAUGGCAGCCAAGAUGCUGAAGCAAUACUGUGCAAUCCACCCAAGCCUCUUCCACAUUUCUAUCUCUCAUCAAUUUAUCUCACACUCCCUAUCUGUUCUAAUUACGUGACUGAACGUUGUCUAGGUGUACCCAAGAUAGUGUUUCAGAAAUUAGCUGUAAAAGAAAAGGAAAGGUAGGCUUCUAGCGAUGCAGCAUCUGUUAUGACACUGGGGCAUCCCAAAGUAAGGUACAGUUGAUGAAGUGGUUUGGAAAUGUAAAUGCUUGUAGAAAAUGUGGUGCUCAGUUUGAAUGCUGAAUUCUCACAAUUGGAAAAGAGAUUAAGGCCAGGCAAACCGUUUUAGCGAUUUGUCUAAUGGAUAAAUAUAGGUCAAGAGAAAAUUAUUAAUUCCCUGAGUGCUUUUGAAAUAGUUCCACAACUUUUAAUAACAUCCACCCAAGAGGAUGGAUCUCAGUUUAAUGUCACACUUCUAAACCACUUUAUCAAAUCUAACUUACUUUGGGAUGGCCAACUAUUGUGAAAGAUCCUGCAUCUCUGACUCUGCAGCUAAACUUCAGCAUCCCAUUGAAUGUUAGACUAGGUGUUUAUACUUACGUUUCUGGAACUUAAGACUUUUCAAUUUAUAAGGGAGUGUGUCAGCAACUGAGCCAUCAGACAUAGGAUUUUAAAGGACUUGCUGUUCAAUUGCUGUGAUACAGUUAACAUUCACACUGACUGUGUACAUAGUACAGAUUAUUAUACAUUGAGAAGGAGCUUUACCUCAUUAGCAUCAAUUCAUCCUGAGGGUUAUUCAAAACAGGGAAACUAUAAAAUAUAUAAUUCCAAAGGCAUAAUAGGCAUACUUCCAUCAAUGUGCUUUUGUUUGGAAUUGUGGGAUAAUUUAUACCUUUCAUUGCUGAUGUUUCAGCAGGACAUUAACUGGGCAUUGACUUCAAACAUCAGCAUAGUUAAAUUUUAAUCAGGAAAGAACUUAUGAAUGGACUAAAGAAUAAAUAAAAUCAAUGUCAGGAUCUCAACCGCUUGUACAACAAGGCAAUUUCUGUCCAAUGGAAGGAAAGCUUGAGCAGGUAAUAAACGUGGAGAUGAAUACUCAAAUGAGCUUUACACAUUCCUACAUCAUGUUCUCAAAAGCAGUUUCCUUCCAGUUGGAGUGAACAAAAGACUAUUGAAACAACACUUCAACAUUUCCCAUGCCGUUUUAAUUAUUCACACAAACAGAAAAUUUGGAGUCAUCUGAUCCAUUAAAAACAGACAUGUUGAGAUAUCUAGAUGUCCCCAGAUUAUACAUCAGCAUGUAUGUGAUGAAGUAGCAAUCAUCUUGUGAAAAUUGAAAAGGGUUAUGUAAUCAAAAUCCAUCUUAAUUUCCAGAAGAGCCAGCCACCCGGAACUUGAACAGCACUAACCUGUGGGAAAGUGAACUAUUAACCCAGGAAUGGCAUUGGGAGUAUCAGAGGGAGACAUCUGGCAAUGUAACAAAAAUAUAGUUUCAACACAAGAUGGAAUUUGAUGGAUCAGAGAAAGGAGCUGCUCACAACGUCAGCGUUCUCGUACAUGGCAAACAUAUAAACAGAUUUUGCUUUCCUUCAUACCACCUCUACAAAAUCUUUCUAACUUUCUUCCUGAAGACCAAGACUCUAGCCCGGAUACAGUCUAGUGGCACUAGCAACAUAACUUAUGUUUUGGAAAGCUUGGGAAAUCCAUGUCCAAAGGAAAAUAUAGGAGGCACGAAAGGAGGAAGGAGGAAGCAUUCUGAGCAUAUACCUGUCAAUAGCUUGAAGAUCAUUAGCUGGAUUCCAUGUUGGG